rnacentral:rRNA from 1 species
GAUGAACGCUGGCGGCGUGCCUAAUACAUGCAAGUCGAGCGGACGGACGAGAAGCUUGCUGCUCUGAUGUUAGCGGCGGAGGUGUGAGUAACACGUGUAUAACCUACCUAUAAGACUGGUAUAACUUCGGGAAACCGGAUCUAAUACCGUAUAAUAUUUUGAACCGCAUGGUUCAAAGGUGAAAGACGGUGGUGCUGUCUCUACUAGCUGGAUCCCCGCUGCUUUAGCUAGUUGGUGAGGUAAAGGCUUACCAAGGGAAGGAGGCAUAGCCGACAUGACAGGGUGGUCGGCCGCACUGGGACGGAGACACGGCACAGACGCAUACGGGAGGGGGCCGUAGGGAAUCGUCAGGAAGGGGUGAAGACCAGACGGAGAAACGCGGAGGGAGUGAUGAAGGUCUUCGGAUCGUGAAACUCUGUUAUUAGGGAAGAACAUAUGUGUAAGUAACUGUGCACAUCUUGAAGGUAACUAAUCAGAAAGCCACGGCUAACUACGUG